rnacentral:rRNA from 1 species
CGAAACCCUCCACCAAUACUGAAUGACUUCAUACUUUAUGAAGGACCAUAUGUUAAAACUAGUAACAAGAAGAAGACCUUCUCCAAAAUGCAAGCGUAAGUCAUAAUGAACAAUUCACUGACACUUAACGUUUAUGAAUCAUAAGUAACAACCCACACAAGAAAACCUUACCUAAAUUAACGUCAACCUUACACUAGAGCAUUUCAUGAAAGAUUAAAAGAAAGGGAAGGAACUCGGCAAAUUUUAACCUCGCCUGUUUACCAAAAACAUCGCCUCCUGAUAAUUAUAGGAGGUCCAGCCUGCCCAGUGACAAAGUUAAACGGCCGCGGUACCCUAACCGUGCAAAGGUAGCACAAUCACUUGUUCUUUAAAUGAGGACUAGUAUGAACGGCAUCACGAAGGUUAUACUGUCUCCCCCCUCCAAUCAGUGAAACUGACCUCCCCGUGAAGAAGCGGGGAUAUUAUUAUAAGACGAGAAGACCCCAUGGAGCUUUAAACUCAGAAUCACCUGCUUCAACCCACAGCCUCCCAACUAAGCAGUCCUGACUCUCUAGUUUUCGGUUGGGGUGACCGCGGAGUAAAAAUAAACCUCCACGACGAAAGGAACUACUCUCCUAAUCCAAGAGCUACAGCUCUAAGAAUCAAAUUAUUGACAAAAUUGAUCCAAAUUUCUUUGAUCAACGAACCAAGUUACCCUGGGGAUAACAGCGCAAUCCAUUUCAAGAGCCCCUAUCGACAAAUGGGUUUACGACCUCGAUGUUGGAUCAGGGUAUCCUAGUGGCGCAGCCGCUACUAAAGGUUC